AGCAGCCGCCGCGGUAAUACGGAGGGUGCAAGCGUUAAUCGGAAUUACUGGGCGUAAAGCGCACGCAGGCGGUCUGACAAGUCAGAUGUGAAAUCCCCGGGCUUAACCUGGGAACUGCAUUUGAAACUGUCAGGCUGGAGUCUUGUAGAGGGGGGUGGAAUUCCAGGUGUAGCGGUGAAAUGCGUAGAGAUCUGGAGGAAUACCGGUGGCGAAGGCGGCCCCCUGGACAAAGACUGACGCUCAGGUGCGAAAGCGUGGGGAGCAAACAGGAUUAGAGACCCCGGUAGUCCCUGUCUCUUAUAC
rnacentral:rRNA from 1 species